rnacentral:rRNA from 1 species
CGCGCGGGUGAGUAACACGUAUCCAACCUGCCCUUUACUCGGGGAUAGCCUUUCGAAAGAAAGAUUAAUACCCGAUAGUAUAAUGAUUCCGCAUGGUUUCAUUAUUAAAGGAUUCCGGUAAAGGAUGGGGAUGCGUUCCAUUAGGUUGUUGGUGAGGUAACGGCUCACCAAGCCUUCGAUGGAUAGGGGUUCUGAGAGGAAGGUCCCCCACAUUGGAACUGAGACACGGUCCAAACUCCUACGGGAGGCAGCAGUGAGGAAUAUUGGUCAAUGGGCGGUAGCCUGAACCAGCCAAGUAGCGUGAAGGAUGAAGGCUCUAUGGGUCGUAAACUUCUUUUAUAUAAGAAUAAAGUGCAGUAUGUAUACUGUUUUGUAUGUAUUAUAUGAAUAAGGAUCGGCUAACUCCGUGCCAGCAGCCGCGGUAAUACGGAGGAUCCGAGCGUUAUCCGGAUUUAUUGGGUUUAAAGGGAGCGUAGGUGGACUGGUAAGUCAGUUGUGAAAGUUUGCGGCUCAACCGUAAAAUUGCAGUUGAUACUGUCAGUCUUGAGUACAGUAGAGGUGGGCGGAAUUCGUGGUGUAGCGGUGAAAUGCUUAGAUAUCACGAAG